UCUCUCCGGUUUCUCCACACAUCGUUCAAUUGCAGGAUUGUGGUAUCAUUGAACAACCGAAACCGGCGCGGCAGGACGUCCACUACAGCACAAUAAAUAUUAUACAUUAAUAGAACUUGUAAAAGUUUUUCAGAUUACCAUCCGCAGAUAUGCUAUUCCAUUUUCGAAUGGACUUUUCCUGACUGUUGACCGCGGACAUUCUUGAACCUCACGAGACAAAAAUCAACCGUUACCCGAAGGCUGGGAGGAGAGAGGAAAUGGCCGAGAUUAGAGGAAGAGAGGAGGAUGAGGAAUGGAAGAAGCCCCGGAGGAAGGAGGGCGGGGUUAAAAGUGUGACAGAGGUCCAGACAUGGCGGAGUCGUGGAGUCUGUCUGUCGUCUCCUGCUCCCUGCCCUGGCCAUGCUAUGCCGAUGGAUGAGACCGGAGCGAGGGGGGG